UUGACCUCAAAUCGGGUGAGACUACCCGCUGAACUUAAGCAUAUCAAUAAGCGGAGGAAAGAACUAACAAGGAUCCCCUAGUAACUGCGAGU
rnacentral:rRNA from 1 species